AGUGAACGCUGGCGGUAGGCCUAACACAUGCAAGUCGAACGGCAGCACAGUAAGAGCUUGCUCUUACGGGUGGCGAGUGGCGGACGGGUGAGGAAUACAUCGGAAUCUACUUUUUCGUGGGGGAUAACGUAGGGAAACUUACGCUAAUACCGCAUACGACCUACGGGUGAAAGCAGGGGAUCUUCGGACCUUGCGCGAUUGGAUGAGCCGAUGUCGGAUUAGCUAGUUGGCGGGGUAGAGGCCCACCAAGGCGACGAUCCGUAGCUGGUCUGAGAGGAUGAUCAGCCACACUGGAACUGAGACACGGUCCAGACUCCUACGGGAGGCAGCAGUGGGGAAUAUUGGACAAUGGGCGCAAGCCUGAUCCAGCCAUACCGCGUGGGUGAAGAAGGCCUUCGGGUUGUAAAGCCCUUUUGUUGGGAAAGAAAAGCAGCAGGUUAAUACCCCGCUGUUCUGACGGUACCCAAAGAAUAAGCACCGGCUAACUUCGUG
rnacentral:rRNA from 1 species